CGCUUUCCUGAAUGCUAUCUGUCUCUUACCUGCCUCUCUGUCAAGGCCCUGUGAUGUUAAUCGGCAAUGUCCUUUGGUUAAAUUCUCUAAGAAUUCUCAGCUCUAAGAUAUGAUAAAUGUGUAACAAAUUGCUUUAAUGUAUGAGCUUCACAUUGUUGCUAAAGUUUUUGUUUCUUUUGGGGUUUUUCAUGGAACUGGAUCUAACUUCCCCACCCCCACUUUUUAUUCCAGGAUUUACCACAAACCUUUUCCACUCUCUUCUCUAAUAGAUUGUUCUGUUAUAACACAAUACCACGUGUUGAGACAGAUUCACUGUCUCAGGCCAGCAUUUCACAAUUAGUGAUGACUGGUCACACGGUAAAGUGAAAUUUCUUUCCCUUUUUGCAGAAAUGGAUCAAAAGAUUCAACCAGCAAAUGGUGAAUCAAUGACAAAUCAAUAAUAAGGGGUCUGGAAAAGACCAAUGGGGAGCUUGCAUGUGAGAUCUCUUGGGGAACUUCGAAGCACUCUGUUAAUGAAAAGGGUAAAUUUUUUCUCUCUUCCCUUAUACCAUAAACUCCAUGAGAGCAUUUGACAGGAUCAGUUGUGUCAUCUUUAAAAAGAAAUGUUCGAUGACGUAUAUACAAAAAAUCAUAUUAUAAACCUUAAGUCUUUAUAAUUUUUAUUGCCAAUUAUAUGUCAACAAAAAAGGGGGAAGUUAUAAAACAAUGAAUCAUUGAUUGAGUGAACGAAUCCAUGAAUGUUGUGGACUGAAUGUCUGUGCCCACCCCCAAAUCCAUAUGCUGAAAUCCCAUCUCCUAAUGUGGUAGUAUUAGGAGGUGGGGGGUCUUUAGUAGGUAAUUAGGUUUAUAUGAGGCCAUGAGGGCAAAGCCCCAUGAUGGAAUUAGCCCUUACAAGAAAAGGAGGAGACACCAGCAUGUUCUCUCUCCACCAUGUGAUGAUACAGUGAGAAGGCAGCCAUCUACCAGCCAAGAAGAGGGCUCUCACCAAGAACUGAAUCUACUGGUACCUUGAUCUUGGACAUUUCAGCCUCCAGAACUGUGACAAUAAACGUCUGUUGUCUAAGCUACCCAGGUGUGGUGUUUGGUUAUAGUAGCCUAAGUGGACAAAGACAGUGAAUAAAUAAAUGAAUGAAACAAAACAAAGUCACAGAGUAGGAGAACAUGCAAUAUGAACAGAGAAUAAAGGGUUGUCUUUGAAUAUAUUUGGUGUAGCUGGGUGUUGGAGUGUAACCCAUAGCUAGGUGGGUGGGUGGGAAGCAGUGGUCCUUAGAGUAAGUUCUGUGGACCAGUAUCAUCUGGGAACUCAUUAGAAAUGCAAGUUCCUGGGUCCCCACCUAGGCUUACUGAAUCUGAAACUCAGGGGUGGGGCGGACAAUCUGUUUCAACAAUCCCUCUAGGUCAUUCUGGUGCAAAGCAAAGUUUUGAGAACCAUUACUUUGUACUAAUGCAGGAAGUUUGGAAAUAAUUCUGCUGUAAAUUCAGUGUUAAUGAAGGUUUUUAGCUGUGGAUGGAUAUAAUCAGAGCUGUAUUUCUAGGAUGAUGAGGCAUGAAGCUUUGCCUAAAAGAAUUUAUGGCUUCGAUAAAGCACCACUGGAAAUACUGGAAAACACAUUGUAUUCACCAAGCCCCAGAGUGAAAGAUUUUGAUUUUUCCUGAUUCCAGAUAAUAGCCACAUCAUCAGCUAAGAGGCAAAGCAGAGCCGGCAUUAUUCCCAAGCACUGGAGAAACCUGCUUGGUCUACAGAGACCAGACAGGAUGAGAAAGUUUCUAUGAAAAUAAAUCAGUUAACUACUAAAUAUGGUCCUCACUGAUCUCAGGGGGGCCUCUUAGUCCUGACCAGCUGCGGGGAAACAUGAAAUGGAACCUUCCAUACCAAGACAAAUGGGCAGCUCUUCCUACAACUGGCCUCACUACCUGAAAAAUGCAGCUCUGUCUUUAGGGCUGGUGGAGAUGGGUCUGCCCACGGGGAAGGUAUUGGAUGGAAGAGAAAUGAAGAGCCUGGGUGGAAAACAGUAUCUUAAGAGAGAGUCUAGAAGCCCAAGAUACAAGUGUCAGGUGGGGAGGGAGUGGGGAGGAGAGGGAUGAGGGCUGUUCAGAGUGGUUUGGGCUGUAGGGAUGACCAAUCAUCUGGGUUUGCCCAGCAUUCAGGAUGUUGGGGAUGAUCCCUGUCAAAUCAGGGCAGAUGGCCACCCUACAACUCUGCACUCUCAGCUGUGUUGAAGACUUGGGGAGAAACCAUGUGAAAGCAGGAGAAUCACUGAUCUAAGCCUUGUUUCUCAAAAUAUUGCCUACACACUGGCAAUGUCAGUGUCACCUGGGAGUUUGUGAGAAAUGCAGCUCCUCAGGCCCACCCUAUACUUGCAGGCCCAGACCUGCAUGACUGCAAGAGCCCCAGGUGACGUGAGUGCACAUGGGCUGAGAAAGACUGCCUUGGCAGAUGCUCUGAGCCCUGGGAGGCUUCCCCCAGUAAAAAAAAAAAAAAAAAAUGAAGCACUGGUGGGGAGCAGAAUUUCUGGGCUGUGAUAUAGCCGAUGUCCAGGUUGUCCAGAUUCUAAGCUCGACCUGCAUCACCCCUGCCUGGGAGGAGCAGAAACAUGGAGAAGCUUACAUACUAGGGCACCAAGAACGGAGAGCAAAGAAGGAAAAGGACAGAUGACACAAAAGAGCCAAGGGGGCCUCCUGAACUAUUAACAGUAGUAGUUGUAGGAAUGUAGGAAAGCCAGAAGCCCAGCAAUUAUGCGGUGACAGUAAAGCUAGAGAAGUAGUCUUCUGUUCCUAUACUGUGACCCUGUUUUGGUAAAACAGCAACAACAACAACAAGCUGGUGUGGGCUGGGAAAUGAAUUACACUGCAAAGUGGAGUCACGGCCCUGUGGGUAAGCUUUCAGAGGCAGAUAAAAAAGGAUCACCCACUAAAAGUAUUCAGCUUUCGCAUCUUGGCCUCACUCACUUGUGUAUCACUCAGAAACACAAAGCAAAUUCAGUUUUUUUCUUUUUAUCUACCUGGUCUGAUCAUCAUGGGUUCCAACUCUGCAUUCUAGCAAGAAUAAUUUGCACUUAAUUAAUAGUGUUUCUUUUUCUGCAGCUCCAACACAAUUCUUUGACUUAAAACAUUCUAACCAGUGGUUCUUAAACUCCAAACAUACAGCAGAAUCACCUAGAGGGCAUGUUAAAACACAGAUUGCUGGGCCCACCCCCAGGGUUUCUGAUUCUGUACAUCUGGUAGCAACUUAAAUUUGCAUUUCUAAGGAGUUCCCGGUUGAUGCUUAUUAUUGGUCUAAGGAACAUACUUUGGAACCUCUGGUUCAAACUGUUCAGCAUGUUAUUCCUAUUCAAAGGUGAAGGGUUUCAAAAGUCUUAGAUUAAUACUUCUAAAAUUGGUUGACCUUUCUGUUCUACCUUGGAUCAAAUACAUGGUCGUCCUGCGUAUGACGACUCUGCAGCUCAUGGCAUAAGCCCCUCACAGUGCCCGCUCAACACAUCUGCACUGGCCUGUAUCUUGUUCAACAAGACAAGUCCUCUGGUCACAUGCUAGAAUGUCCUGGCAAUGGCGGUUUGUGAUAAAAAUGUCUAAAUACCAAUUCUUACUUGUGUUUAUCUCACUUCAGGCCAGUAAUCAUUUGUGGACUGGCACUGGCCCAUAGAUCACAUUUUGAGUAAUGCUGUUUAGAUGACUCAGUCUUUCUCAGAUUCUUACCCUCUUCCUUCUCUUUCUUAAGAUAGCAUUUAGGUAUACAAGAUGGCAGGGGUCUUAUUUUAUCCUUGUGGCACCCUUGUAGCAUGCACCAUCCUCUAGAGACUCCGUGAUCCUUGGAUUCAUUUUUUUCUCUGGAAUGGGGACCACCGAAAUGAAACGAGGUCCCAUCUAAUCUUUAGGAAUGAUGUAUGCGGCCAUAGCCCUGAACACUUCCCAUAGUGCCCAAGUUCCAACCCUGUGGCCUCUUUCCCUGCUCCUAGAUGGCUGCUAGUCUACCAGUAGUCUCACUGGGGAAGUAAGAAGUUCCAGAGACUCCUGUUUUCCACGUAAAGGCCAUUAGGAGGCAGGAAUGCCUUCUUUUUGCUUUUUUAAAGAUUUUUUUUAUUUAUUUGAGAAGGAGGGGGAGGGGCAGUACAAGAGGGAGAGGAGAGAGGAUCUCAAACAGAAUUCCCACUGAGCUUGGAGCCCCAUGUGGGGCUCAUUCUCAUGAUCUCGAGAUCAUGCCAUGAGCUGAAAUCAAGUCAGAGGCUUAACCAACUGAGCUAUCCAGGUGUCCUGGCAGGGAUGACUUCUAAGUCCUGUACAUCUACCCACCUGCUGCCACCUCUGUUCAGUUGCUUCUGAGCCCCAGAGGAUGUGAUGCUGAGCCAAAUAGUCAUAAACCCCUAGAAACUGGAGUCCUGGAAGGAGCUCAUAACCUAGCCAAGUUUUAGUUUUUCAGGAAUUUUGCACUCUAAUUGUUCAACAUGGCCAUUAUUAGAAAUUAAAUGAUAAGAACAUACAUUUAAACAAGUUAUAUUAAAAGCAAAGAUAAUUAAUACUCAAAAUCUUCAUCUCCUAUUUAUUUAAAUACAUUGGACUAUUAACCUAUGUUUUGCAUAUAUAUAUUUGGUAGAGAUACUAUAUAAUAAUGUACUACCGCACAGCUUUUCUAACUUUGUUCAGUGAUAUCAUGUUGAUAGUUUCAAAUCAGCCAAGGUAGAAGGAUUUGCACCAUGGAAAUGAGGAAUUAUAAAUCAAGGCUCAAGGGGUGCCUGGGUGGCUCAGUCAUUAAUCGUCUGCCUUCUGCUCAGGUCAUGAUCCCAGGGUCCCAGGAUCAAGCCCUGCAUCAGGCUCCCUGCUUGGCAGGAAGCCUGCUUCUCCCUCUCCCAACCCCCUGCUUGUAUCCCCUCUCUUGCGGUGUCUCUCUCUGUCAAAUAAAUAAAUAAAAUCUUAAAAAAAAAAUCAAGGCUCCAUUCUCCCUCAUCUCCACCUCCCCUAGGCCAGCUGUUAAACAUCUACCAACACAUCAUUGCUUAGAGCCUAAAUCUGGGAGUGAGCCACUACCCAAUGGCCUCAAGUCACCCUUUACUUACCUAGAUAUUGCAAAACUGCUCUUCCCCUGAAGAUUAGUCCCUAAAAGGUGUAUGUGGAAGAGAUAUUGAUGACCAGAACCCUGAUUCCAUCUUAUCUACUUGCGCUGCUUCUGUCUCUCUUCUCUCCCUACCAUCUCUGGGGACCUGAAGAAGCAGUCUUCUGGCUUUUUAUUUCCUCCACAGCAUAUCCUUAUACAUUAAGGAUAAGCGCUCAUGGCCUAACAUUACUUUCUGACAUUCUUUCCGCAAACCUAUAAAUUUAGUCUAGCUAUGAGAAAACAUGAGGAUCAAAUUGAGAGACCUUCUAUUAAACUUCCACCUACUCCCCUUCAAAACUGUAAUAUGAGAGACAAGGAAAGACCAAGAAACAAUCAUAGCUUGGAGAAGGAGACUAAUGUACUCAAUUCAAUGUGGUAUCACGGAUUGGACCCUGGAAAAGAAAGAAAAUUGGUAGGAAAACCAGGGAGAUCCAAAUAAAGUCUGAGUAUGGUACCAAUGUUAAUUUCUUAAUUCCAAUUAUUGUAUCAUAUUCUGUAAAAUAUUAACACUAUAUGAAGCUGGAUGAAGGGUACAUGAGAACCCUGUAGUAUAUUUGUGGCUCUUCCAUAAAUAUACAAUUUUUCCAAGUAAAACUAAUGAAGGGAAAAAUUCAUGACCUAAGUAAUAGGUAGAAUAGAUAUCUUUUUUUAUUCUAUGGAAAAAACUUAGAAUCUGCAUCCAUCUGCUUUGUGAUUUGAAAAAAGGGGGGAAAGAUAGGGUUGGUAGAAAAUCUUUCUCUCUUAAUGAAGCUUGACUUUCAAGUGUUUCAUCUUUUGCAGAAAAAAAAAUAGAUGUUGUAGGCUGAGCUGUAACUCUUUUUUUCCUUUUCUUUACAAUCUUGCUAUAAUAAAACGAAUCCCCCUGCCCUGAAAGUGAUGUUUUCAGACAAUAAAAAAGGUCAAAUACAUAGAAGAUAGGUUAAUAUAAAAUAAAAAUAUUACUUUUAUUUUAUGUGGACCUGAAAAUGGGCCACUGGUCACACACUUACAUUUUUUCUAAGUGAAAGGAUAGCCAGGAAGAAAAAUCCCUGAACAGGGAAAAGUAAAUGUGCUUAUCUAAGGCAAUGCCUCUCAAACUUUAAUUUGCAUUUGCUUCACUUAGGAAUCUUGUUAAAAUGCAGAUUGCUUGUCAGUAGGUUUGGGGUGGAGACCCAAAUUAGUUUGAUUUUCUAGUAAGUUUACAGAUGAUGCCAUGCUGCUGGUGUCCAAGCAGCACAGGUCAAGGAUCAUUUCUGAGGAAUUUCCUCUUCCCUUGGCACAGUAGGCAUAAGGAAAGUGCUUACUGGCCACAGGCUUAAAGACACAUAGAAAAUGCGCAGUACCUCUGCAAGACCAGCGAUAAAAUAAACCAAUUAAAACAAAGAAGAAACAUAAUAAUCAAAAUAUGACAUUAUUGCGCAUUCCGAGAUGGAGUGAAAGAACUAUUCAGGAAGUCACUGGACAUGGAAAGCUGUUUUUGAAGUUUAAUUGGAAGCCAGAACUAAGAGUCAUUUAUUUAGUCAUUCCCUUUCACAACAUAAGGAAAAGUCAACAUUUUCUAUUAAAGAGGAACUACAGCUUUCAGAAUUCCUGAGUUGUACAGUGCCAGUUUACAUGAAUCUCUUCCCUCCUCCCAAAGUUUUUAAUGAUUAUAGUUCCUGGAAAAUAAUAUGUCAUUUUUUCCAAAGCAUCCUCUAAACCUGCAAAAAAGUUCUUCUAAAAUUUUAAGCUAGAAAAACAGUUAAUUUGCUUGUAUCAAAGAGAUAACUCAUGCCAGUCAAAAAACCAUUACUAGGAGGGGAAAGUGUUAUUCACGUCCAUGUGCAUAUCACCCCUGCCACCACCAUUAGGAGCUUCCAAGGUGUAAAAUGCACUUACCGAGUCUCUCAGCAUUGAAACUGGGGUGUUUUUCAGGAAGACUCUGUAGACACUCUGGCGAUCUUAUCUGUGACUUAAAAAUGUGGUCAUGUUUUUUUCUGGGGCGCCUGGGUGGCUCAGUGGGUUAAGCCGCUGGCUUCGGCUCAGGUCAUGAUCUCAGGUUCGAUCAUGAACCGAGUCCCGCAUCUUUGCUCAGCAGGGAGUCUGCUUCCCUCUCUCUCUCUCUGCCUGCCUCUCUGUCUACUUGUGAUUUCUCUCUGUCAAAUAAAUAAAUAAAAUCUUUUUAAAAAAAUGUGGUCAUGGGGACACCUGCGUGGCUCAGUUGGUUGGGCAGCUGCCUUUGGCUCAGGUCAUGAUCCCAGCAUCCUGGGAUCGAGUCCCAUAUCGGGCUCCUUGCUCGGCGGAGAGCCCGCUUCUCUUUCUGCCUCUGCCUGCCACUCUGUCUGCCUGUGCACUCACACACACACACUCUCUCU